rnacentral:rRNA from 1 species
GACGAACGCUGGCGGCGUGCCUAAUACAUGCAAGUUGAGCGCUGAAGGUUGGUACUUGUACCAACUGGAUGAGCAGCGAACGGGUGAGUAACGCGUGGGGAAUCUGCCUUUGAGUGGGGGACAACAUUUGGAAACGAAUGCUAAUACCGCAUAAAAACUUUAAACACAAGUUUUAAGUUUGAAAGAUGCAAUUGCAUCACUCAAAGAUGAUCCCGCGUUGUAUUAGCUAGUUGGUGAGGUAAAGGCUCACCAAGGCGAUGAUACAUAGCCGACCUGAGAGGGUGAUCGGCCACAUUGGGACUGAGACACGGCCCAAACUCCUACGGGAGGCAGCAGUAGGGAAUCUUCGGCAAUGGACGAAAGUCUGACCGAGCAACGCCGCGGGAGUGAAGAAGGUUUUCGGAUCGUAAAACUCUGUUGGUAGAGAAGAACGUUGGUGAGAGUGGAAAGCUCAUCAAGUGACGGUAACUACCCAGAAAGGGACGGCUAACUACGUG